GACGAUAGAGGAUGGUUUAACUGUAAACUCAAACCUAAGCCCUACUUGAACUUGAUUUUACCUAUAAAGUAUAUAGGUAUACAAGCCCUACUCAGAUCCUUCGUCUGUUUUACAGAGGAGUUGGGAUGUCAUGGUUAUGUGAUAUGUUGUUGGUUUUUUUUUCUUUUGAUUUGUUUUACUUUGUUGGUCCACGACUCUUUCAUUGUUUCCUCGAUUGGAUAACUUAUCCACUUGUCUCUUUGUAAUGUCG
rnacentral:lncRNA from 1 species